CAGUAGCCACGGUAAUACAGAGGGUGCAAGCGUUAAUCGGAAUUACUGGGCGUAAAGUGCGCGUAGGUGGUUUGUUAAGUUGGAUGUGAAAUCCCCGGGCUCAACCUGGGAACUGCAUCCAAAACUGGCAAGCUAGAGUAUGGUAGAGGGUGGUGGAAUUUCCUGUGUAGCGGUGAAAUGCGUAGAUAUAGGAAGGAACACCAGUGGCGAAGGCGACCACCUGGACUGAUACUGACACUGAGGUGCGAAAGCGUGGGGAGCAAACAGGAUUAGAUACCCGUGUAGUCCCUGUCUCUUAUAC
rnacentral:rRNA from 1 species